UACGUAGGGUCCGAGCGUUGUCCGGAAUUAUUGGGCGUAAAGGGCUCGUAGGCGGUCUGUUGCGUCGGGAGUGAAAACUUACAGCUUAACUGUGAGCGUGCUUUCGAUACGGGCAGACUUGAGGCAUUCAGGGGAGAACGGAAUUCCUGGUGUAGCGGUGAAAUGCGCAGAUAUCAGGAGGAACACCGGUGGCGAAGGCGGUUCUCUGGGAAUGUCCUGACGCUGAGGAGCGAAAGUGUGGGGGAGCGAACAGG
rnacentral:rRNA from 1 species